UGGUCAUGGUGGCACACACCUGUAAAUCCCAGCUAUUUGGGAGGCUGAGGCAGGAGAAUCGCUUGAACCCUGGUGGCAGAGGUUGUGGUGAGCAGAGGUCAGCCUAUAUCAAGCUUCUCCUUGUUCUAUGUGUGAACAGCUAGUCUGUAUCUUCACCGAAGCAUAUUUAAAAAUCAACCUUAGGAAGGCCCUUGGCCACCAUAAUCCUUCCACACCAGCAAGAGCCCAGCCUCUGAGACUAGGCGUGCUUCCGCUUCCCACUGGAAUGCCUUCGCCCGGAUCUCCAAGGUACCAAAUUCCUCAGGGGCAGCUGAGACAGCCCUACUUCUGGGAGUCCUCCCCAACCACUUGAAAUCACAGGCAUCUCUGCUGUCCCUGCCCUUCAUCCACAUCACUGAACAAUUCAUUGCACACAUCUCUGUACUUUUAUUUAAACUGUUCCAUGUGUGUUUACAAUUAACUACUGCAUGAAUGACUGCGGUAUGGAUGGAGCAGAAAGGAAUGCUGAGGGAGGACCCCUGUUCGAAUGAGCCCCUCUUCCAGAACGAGAAUGAACUUUCCCCAGUACCAACAAGGCAGCCUCUAGGGCAAGAAAAGGUAAUGGGAUCCAUCCUGCUGACAUCCAAGAUGGAAUUACAGGUAACUCUCACCUUUUGACUCUCAGGUGGAAACCCCUUCUCCACAAGGUGAAGCAGAGUCCGUGCCACAGCCCCACAGUUGGGGUCGGGGAUGUCACAGAAAUCACCAGGGCAGCCAAUUCCCAUCUAGAGGGGGCCCAGGAUGACCCAGCACCCUCAAGCUCAGCCCCAAGCUCGGGCCAGGGAGUGAAGCCCUUGUCCCCAAGCAACAGAGUGAGGGUUUGUCUCUAACCCUGUGGGCUCCAGUGAAAGGAAAAUGGCCUGGAGGUGCCCACAGGAGAGCACCCGAGUUCUGAGACAGAUCCAUGGCUCCCAGCCUGAGUCCCCAUGAGUAACAGGGAUGCACAGAGGGGCAUGCUGCCUGCCUAUAGGGCACUCACGGAACGCAGCUGCAUGCUGUGGAUCCUGAAGCUGGUCAGGUAACGAGGUGCAGAGGUGUGGGGAAGACCUGGAGGGAGGCCUCCCCAGAUGCCAACCAGCCUAACCAACCGGGGCCACCGAUAUUAACAGGACACACGGAAGGAUGCCUCGGACAUCUGCACAGCGCACACAACCAAGCUUAGGAGCCCACUGUUAAGAUGCCCAAGUGACGUUGACAAGUUUCUCCUCUGCAAGCCAAUGAGAUCUGCUGGCUGUCAGAGCAUCACGGGACGGCUGAAGGAUUCUGGAAAAUGUGGUCCCAGGUGGCCACUGUGUGCUGACCUUCACCUGCAGGUUCGACUUGAAGGAAACUUCUCGAGGGUUGGGUGGAGGGUGGGGUAGUGUUGAAGAGAAGGCACAAUUGUAACCAUUUUGUUCAACAUGGGUGUUUUCUUUAUGCAUUAAUUUGUAUUUUAAAAUAUAUUACAUUAAAAAUUUAUCUUGAUUACCGAGUU